rnacentral:misc_RNA from 1 species
UCUCCGUUGGUGAACCAGCGGAGGGAUCAUUACCGAGUUUACAACUCCCAAACCCUUAUGUGAACCGUACCUAUCGUUGCUUCGGCGGGAACGCCCCGGCGCCCUGCGCCCGGAUCCAGGCGCCCGCCGGAGGUUACAAACCCUGAAUUUUAGUGUAUCUCUGAGUACAAAAACGAAAUAAUUAAAACUUUCAACAACGGAUCUCUUGGUUCUG